UACGGAGGGUGCGAGCGUUGUCCGGAAUCACUGGGCGUAAAGGGCGCGUAGGCGGCUCAUGAAGGCUGUGGUGAAAGUCCGGGGCUCAACCUCGGAUCGGCCGUGGCGACUCGUGGGCUGGAGCACUGUAGAGGCGGGUGGAAUUCCGGGUGUAGCGGUGGAAUGCGUAGAGAUCCGGAAGAACACCAGUGGCGAAGGCGGCCCGCUGGGCAGUGGCUGACGCUGAAGCACGAAAGCGUGGGGAGCAAACAGG
rnacentral:rRNA from 1 species